CUUAGCUUUCAAGAUAUUAAGGAUGCCACCGGCAUAGAGGACAAAGAACUGAGACGAACUUUGCAGUCUCUUGCAUGUGGGAAAGUUCGGGUCUUGCAAAAGAUACCUAAAGGGAGGGAUGUGGAGGAUGAUGANNAUUUGUUUUCAAUGAGGGAUUUACUGCUCCUCUAUAUCGUAUAAAGGUCAAUGCAAUCCAGAUGAAGGA
rnacentral:misc_RNA from 1 species